rnacentral:rRNA from 1 species
UUCGCAAUGCCCGAAAGGGUGACGAAGCGACGCCGCGUGUGGGAUGAAGGCCCUCGGGUUGUAAACCACUGUCGGGAGUUAAGAGUUGUAGGGGUGCUAAUAGUAUUUCUACUUGACUAAGGCUCCGGAGGAAGCCACGGCUAACUCUGUGCCAGCAGCCGCGGUAAUACAGAGGCGGCAAGCGUUGUUCGGAAUUAUUGGGCGUAAAGAGCAUGUAGGCGGCUAUGUAAGUCGGUUGUGAAAGCCUUCCGCUUAACGGAAGAAUGGCGGUCGAAACUGCAUGGCUUGAGUGCGGGAGGGGAGAGUGGAACUUCUGGUGGAGCGGUGAAAUGCGUAGAUAUCAGAAGGAACGUCGGCGGCGAAAGCGACUCUCUAGACCGUAACUGACGCUGAGUGUGCGAAAGCUAGGGGAGCAAACGGGAUUAGAUACCCCGGUAGUCCUAGCCGUAAACGAUGGGCACUAAGUAGAGGGGUUUU